AUUGAACGCUGGCGGCAGGCCUAACACAUGUAAGUCGAGCGAGCGGCUGACGGGUGAGUAAUGUAUGGGGAUCUCCCCUAUAGAGGGAGAUAACUACUGGAACCGGGUGCUAAUACCGCAUAAUAUCGUCUGCACCCAUAGGGGAUUAGCUAGUAGGUGGGGUAAAGGCUCACCUAGGCGACGAUCUCUAGCUGAGCUGAGAGGAUGAUCGGCCACACUGGGACUGAGACACGGCCCAGACUCCUACGGCAGGCAGCAGUGGGGAAUAUUGCACAAUGGGCGCAAGCCUGAUGCAGCCAUGCCGCGGGUAUGAAGAAGGCCUUAGGGUUGUAAAGUACUUUCAGCGGGGAGGCGUUACCCGCAGAAGAAGCACCGGCUAACUCCGUGCCAGCCGCCGCGGUAAUAC
rnacentral:rRNA from 1 species